rnacentral:rRNA from 1 species
AUUGAACGCUGGCGGCAGGCCUAACACAUGCAAGUCGAGCGGAGCGGCGGACGGGUGAGUAAUGCCUAGGAAUCUGCCUGGUAGUGGGGGAUAACGUCCGGAAACGGGCGCUAAUACCGCAUACUAUCAGAUCAGCCUAGGUCGGAUUAGCUAGUUGGUGGGGUAAAGGCCUACCAAGGCGACGAUCCGUAACUGGUCGGAGAGGAUGAUCAGUCACCCUGGAACGGAAAAACGGUCCAGACCCCGACGGAGGGAAGCAGUGGGGAAUAUUGGACAAUGGGCGAAAGCCUGAUCCAGCCAGGCCGCGUGUGUGAAGAAGGUCUUCGGAUUGAAAAGCACUUUAAGUUGGGAGGCGUUACCAACAGAAUAAGCACCGGCUAACCUCGUGCCAGCAGCCGCGGUAAUAC